rnacentral:rRNA from 1 species
AUUGAACGCUGGCGGCAGGCUUAACACAUGCAAGUCGGACGGUAACAGGGAGGAAGCUUGCUUUCUUUGCUGACGAGUGGCGGACGGGUGAGUAAUGCUUGGGAAUCUGUUUUAUGGAGGGGGAUAACUACGGGAAACUGUAGCUAAUACCGCGUAAUAUCGAGAGAUUAAAGUGUGGGACCGUAAGGCCACAUGCCAUAGAGUGAGCCCAAGUGGGAUUAGGUAGUUGGUGGGGUAAAGGCCUACCAAGCCGUCGAUCUCUAGCUGGUCUGAGAGGAUGACCAGCCACACUGGGACUGAGACACGGCCCAGACUCCUACGGGAGGCAGCAGUGGGGAAUAUUGCACAAUGGGCGCAAGCCUGAUGCAGCCAUGCCGCGUGAAUGAAGAAGGCCUUCGGGUUGUAAAGUUCUUUCGGUGGUGAGGAAGGUUGUAAUGUUAAUAGCAUUAUAAUUUGACGUUAGCCACAGAAGAAGCACCGGCUAACUCCGUGCCAGCAGCCGCGGUAAUACGGAGGGUGCGAGCGUUAAUCGGAAUAACUGGGCGUAAAGGGCACGCAGGCGGAUACUUAAGUGAGGUGUGAAAGCCCUGGGCUUAACCUAGGAAUUGCAUUUCAUACUGGGUAUCUAGAGUAUUUUAGGGAGGGGUAGAAUUCCACGUGUAGCGGUGAAAUGCGUAGAGAUGUGGAGGAAUACCGAAGGCGAAGGCAGCCCCUUGGGGGAAUACUGACGCUCAUGUGCGAAAGCGUGGGGAGCAAACAGG